AGGGAAUCUUCGGCAAUGGACGGAAGUCUGACCGAGCAACGCCGCGUGAGUGAAGAAGGUUUUCGGAUCGUAAAGCUCUGUUGUAAGAGAAGAACGAGUGUGAGAGUGGAAAGUUCACACUGUGACGGUAUCUUACCAGAAAGGGACGGCUAACUACGUGCCAGCAGCCGCGGUAAUACGUAGGUCCCGAGCGUUGUCCGGAUUUAUUGGGCGUAAAGCGAGCGCAGGCGGUUAGAUAAGUCUGAAGUUAAAGGCUGUGGCUUAACCAUAGUAGGCUUUGGAAACUGUUUAACUUGAGUGCAAGAGGGGAGAGUGGAAUUCCAUGUGUAGCGGUGAAAUGCGUAGAUAUAUGGAGGAACACCGGUGGCGAAAGCGGCUCUCUGGCUUGUAACUGACGCUGAGGCUCGAAAGCGUGGGGAGCAAACAGGAUUAGAUACCCUGGUAGUCCACGCCGUAAACGAUGAGUGCUAGGUGUUAGACCCUUUCCGGGGUUUAGUGCCGUAGCUAACGCAUUAAGCACUUCGCCUGGGGAGUACGACCGCAAGGUUG
rnacentral:rRNA from 1 species